AACGAACGCUGGCGGCAUGCCUAACACAUGCAAGUCGAACGAGAUCUUCGGGUCUAGUGGCGCACGGGUGCGUAACGCGUGGGAAUCUGCCCUUUGGUUCGGAAUAACAGUUGGAAACGACUGCUAAUACCGGAUGAUGACGAAAGUCCAAAGAUUUAUCGCCAGAGGAUGAGCCCGCGUAGGAUUAGCUAGUUGGUGUGGUAAAGGCGCACCAAGGCGACGAUCCUUAGCUGGUAUGAGAGGAUGAUCAGCCACACUGGGACUGAGACACGGCCCAGUUUCAUACGGGAGGCAGCAGUGCGGAAUAUUGGACACUGGACGAAAGCCUGAUCCAGCAAUGCCGCGUGAGUGAUGAAGGCCUUAGGGUUGUAAAGCUCUUUUACCCGGGAUGAUACAGACAGUACCGGGAGAAUAAGCUCCGGCUAACUCCGUGCCAGACGCCGCGGUAA
rnacentral:rRNA from 1 species